rnacentral:lncRNA from 1 species
GCUCCCCGGAGCGGCGUCGGCGCCGGGACCGGCCCGCGCUCUUCCAGCGGGAGCUCUUUGUCCUGCCGGCUGCCCCGUGUCCCCCGGCCGGUGUCUCUGCCCCCCCCCCCCCCCCCCGUCUGCGGAGCCCCGGGUCCCGCUAACGCCUGGUGUCGGAGCGUUGCCCCCUCUGCAGCUGGGCCGUGUGCCCCUGGCAGCAGGUAGGGCGGAGCAGCUCUGGUUUACCUCUAGUCUGCUUGCACACUCACCCCCGGCUCUGAGGCUUUUCCCUUAGGGAAGGGGCAGUUGCCACUUCAUGGAAAAAGGAUAAUUGCUUGUCUAAGGCCUUACACAGCCGUUGGUACCAUAACACUGAGUAUCUUGCACUCUUAAGACCAUUGUGCAUAAAUCAUCCCUGCGAAGUAAGGUAAUCCUGUUGUUCCCUAUUUUACAUCUGAAAAGCCAGAGGAUGGAAAAAGUAAUUUCAGUAUCUUAAAUCUCAAAUGUUAAAAAUAAAGAAGCCACCUUUCAGGUGUCUUUCAUUGCCCACUCAGGACUGCUUUUCUGGGUGUAGUUAAUGUGUUUUCAUGUUUCUCUGCAGCCAUGACAGCCAGGCACAAAUGUCUUUGUGCAAAUGACAGCUGAAGUUCUCAGAUGUUCUUUGCCCAGAGGAGGUGUGAGGCUAAUAACUCUUAUGUAACUUGCAAUCAAAUACUCUACCAUCUCCUACAGGCAAAAAUGGAACCUGUCACACUUCAUGAAGUUGCUGACCAGAGUACAAAGAGACCACUGUUCCAUGGCCUUUAAUACUAGGUCUGCUUCUCAAGAAAAAAGGAAAUGGGGAAAACAAUGCAUUUUGAUGUCAACAUCAGCAAAAUUUCUGGAUCUUGAUUUUGUGUCCUUAAUCAUACUGACAUCGAGUCAGUA